AUAGAUUCUUGUUGAAGUAUCUACAUAUUCCCCAUACACAAUGCUGUUCCAUGUUGCUAUCUUGUUGCAGUUGCACCUUCGCCUUGUUGCUUGUUUUGUUUUGUUUUGUUUUGUAGUAUUUUGUUCUUACUUAUCUCUCCCUUUCGCUGUCUUUAUUUAAUGUUUGUUAUUGCAUGUAGGUGUAGAAGUCUCUCGUUGUUUUCAUGCACCGUAAAAAAAGGCAUUUUGUGCUUUCUCUGCUGCAUUUUGAUG
rnacentral:lncRNA from 1 species